AUGGGGGAAACCCUGAUGCAGCAACGCCGCGUGAGCGAUGAAGGCCUUCGGGUUGUAAAGCUCUGUCUUCAGGGACGAUAAUGACGGUACCUGAGGAGGAAGCCACGGCUAACUACGUGCCAGCAGCCGCGGUAAUACGUAGGUGGCAAGCGUUGUCCGGAAUUAUUGGGCGUAAAGGAUGCGUAGGUGGUCCUUUAAGUGGGAUGUGAAAUCCCUGGGCUUAACCCAGGAAUUGCAUUCCAAACUGGAGGACUAGAGUGCAGGAGAGGAAAGUGGAAUUCCCAGUGUAGCGGUGAAAUGCGUAGAGAUUGGGAGGAACACCAGUGGCGAAGGCGGCUUUCUGGACUGUAACUGACACUGAGGCAUGAAAGCGUGGGGAGCAAACAGGAUUAGAUACCCUGGUAGUCCACGCCGUAAACGAUGGGUACUAGGUGUAGGGGGGUCCCCCCUCUGUGCCGCAGUUAACACAUUAAGUACCCCGCCUGGGGAGUAC
rnacentral:rRNA from 1 species